GAGAUGAUUUGACUGUUUCUAAUUCUUCUUCACACAUAUAGCAUCUAUCAAUUAAAAUAGUUACUCUCUUCUGGAUAUUAUCCUGAGUUAAACAAGAUUCCUUUACUGCCACCCACCCAAAACAUGCUACUUUAGCAUGAGCAGUGUUGUAAAAAGCGUGCGCUUCUCGCUUAAAGCGCUAAAGCAAGGUGAGGCGAGGCUAGCUCGCUUUUCUGUCAUAAAAUCGACUCACAUGAAAAGCGAGAAGCGUAGUGAUCCAAAAAGGGCAAAAAAGCACGCUUAAGCGAGGUUAAGCAUCAGUUAGGGUUCUUUUAAAAAAAAAACUUGCAAAAACGUAACGCAAACAAACACUUCUUCUCCAAGCGACCACUACUUCAACAACUGCUUCAGUGCUUCUUCUUUGUAAGUUUCUUCUUCUCUCUUCCUCUAUCCUUCUUUUCUUCUUCUCUUCUUCUUCUUCUUCUUCCUCCUCUUCUUCUCCUCCUUCUUCUCCUCCUCCUUCUUCUUCUUCUUUUCCUCUGAUUUUCUUCAGUUGCUGUUUGACUUCUUUUCUCUUCGUUUUUCUAUUUUUUUGUCACAUUUUAUUGCUCUGUUCUUGUGCGGUUGUGCCCUAAUUUCUACUCUAUUCUUUCUAUGCUCUGUUUUUCUCUUCUUCUUUCUAUUUUUUUCACUUUUUAUUGAUCUAUUUUUAUGCCCUAAUCUAUGCUCUGUUUCUCUGGUUUGUAUUUCUCUAUUUUUCUGUUCAGACUUUUCUGGUUCGAUAAAAAAGUUAACUGUUCUGUUCUGUUUUAACUGUUCUGUUCUGUUUUUUUUUUGUGGUUGUUAAUUGUAGUAAAUUCAAUCUUAUUCACUAU
rnacentral:lncRNA from 1 species